GCCUUUCCGACGCGCCUCUGGCCCCUGCACGGGCUGCACGUGUAGUUGUUGUGGAUGCUCCUUACGUGGCCGCGGAAGUGCCGAGACCGCACGGCCCCGCCUCCAAGAUGGCGGCGCCCAGGCGUGCGGCGGAGACCUGUCCUUGCUGACUCUCAUUCCAGCCUUGACGGAGUCUGUGGGCUAUGGACCAGCCCGGGUUCGUGGCUUCACUGGUGGCUGGUGGAGUAGCAGGUGUCUCCGUCGACUUGAUCUUAUUUCCUCUGGAUACCGUUAAAACCAGGCUGCAGAGUCCCCAAGGAUUUAAUAAGGCAGGUGGUUUUCGCGGAAUAUACGCUGGGGUUCCUUCUACUGCCAUUGGAUCCUUUCCUAAUGCUGCUGCCUUUUUUAUCACCUAUGAAUAUGUGAAAUGGUUUUUGCACAGUGAUUCAGCUUCAUACCUGAUACCUGUAAAGCAUAUGUUGGCUGCCUCUGCUGGAGAAGUGGUUGCCUGCCUGAUUCGAGUUCCUUCUGAAGUGGUUAAGCAGAGGGCACAGGUAUCUUCUGCUUCGAGAACAUUUCAGAUUUUCUCUAACAUCUUAUAUCAAGAGGGCGUCCAGGGACUGUACCGAGGCUACAAAAGCACAGUUUUAAGAGAGAUUCCUUUCUCAUUGGUCCAGUUUCCCUUAUGGGAGUCCUUAAAAGCCCUCUGGUCCUGGAGGCAAGAUCAUGUGGUGGAUUCUUGGCAGUCAGCAGUCUGUGGAGCUUUCGCAGGAAGCAGAAAUCUCCCCGAGAGAAUUGGCAGACAUCCACAGGAAAGGAAUGGUGGACGUCUGCUAAUGGCCAAAAAUAAGUUUGAUGUGCAGUAUCCUGAUUUAUUAGAAGACAAGUACUUUACAGCAUAGGUGAUUCGUGAAAGCUUAAGUGGUCAGACAAGAGACAGGUCAUGUCCUGGCCAAUUUUUAAGUCUUUUGUGUUGGUUUAGGAUAGUCUGUGAACCUUUCAAAUAGGGAAAUGGUGUACUUCUGAGUUUUAACAGCCAUAUUUUCAUGUUUAUUAUAUAUCAAGACCAUUGUGUAGUGAAACCGCAUUCCUGCUGUAGCUAAGAUACACGUGACUUUUUGAGUCCUGCUCCGUGCUAUCAGUGAGACCCUGGGCAAGUUAAGUUGUCUGUCAAGUGGAAUAGUAACACCAAUGCAAAUAAGAAAAGAAUCCCCCCGAGUACCUAGGACAGUCCCAGCACGGCAGAGAGAGUCAGCACACACAGUAGCUCUCGGCUUGCCCUUCCCCUGGCCUUUUAGAGAACAAGGUGCAGUCUUCAGUUUGUAAAAACUGUAGACACUUGUCCAGGACACCCAGAAAACAUUUUUGAUCGCCUACUGUGCGUGCUGGGCUCAAGAUGUGAAGAAAAAUCAGACAUCAUCUGCCCGCCCAGAAAGGAGCUAAUUCCUUUGAGCACUAAUGUCAGCCAGCCAUUCUUCUGGACUUUGGCUAGGCUCAUUCAAUCCCUGUGUUUUAUAGAUAAAAAAAAAUCGAGGUCACUAGAAGACCCUGUGACCAAGAGCUCAGGUUCUGGAGUCAGAAAAUUCAGGUCUCAGCUCUGCACUAAGUAAAACAUUCUGCAAGUCCUGAACCUCUCCGAGCGUUGUUUUCCCCACCAGAACGUGGGCCAGCAAAGGACCGUCCCUAUAUUAUAGGAUAGUUUACCUAGAGAACAAGGCGUUCACCCAAGGCCAAGUAAGUCAGAGAGGUGGGAUUGAAGCCUUGGUCUUUCUGAUCCCAAAGAAGAGCUCCUGGCCAGGCCCCGCUGACCCUGCCGACCAGGAAGGGCGACACUGCCACGCAGGGUGGAUUUGCGGCUGCAGUCACCACACCCCUGGACGUGGCAAAAACAAGAAUCAUGUUGGCGAAGGCUGGCUCCAGCACUGCUAAUGGGAACGUCUUCUCUGCCCUGCACGGGGUCUGGCGCGCACAGGGG